UACGGAGGGGGCUAGCGUUGUUCGGAAUUACUGGGCGUAAAGCGCACGUAGGCGGCGACUUAAGUCAGAGGUGAAAGCCCGGAGCUCAACUCCGGAACUGCCUUUGAGACUGGAUUGCUAGAAUCUUGGAGAGGCGAGUGGAAUUCCGAGUGUAGAGGUGAAAUUCGUAGAUAUUCGGAAGAACACCAGUGGCGAAGGCGGCUCGCUGGACAAGUAUUGACGCUGAGGUGCGAAAGCGUGGGGAGCAAACAGG
rnacentral:rRNA from 1 species